rnacentral:rRNA from 1 species
AUUGAACGCUGGCGGCAGGCCUAACACAUGCAAGUCGAGCGAGCGGCGGACGGGUGAGCAAUGUAUGGGGACUGCCCGAUAGAGGGGGAUAACUACUGGAAACGGUGGCUAAUACCGCAUACUAUCGGAUAACCCAUAUGGGAUUAGCUAGUAGGUGGGGUAAAGGCCCACCUAGGCGACGAUCUCUAGCUGGUCUGAGAGGGUGAUCAGCCACACUGAAACUGAGACACAGCCCAGACUCCUACAGAGACAUUAGUUGGGAAUAUUGCACAAUGGGCGCAAGCCUAAUGCAGCCGUGCCGCAUGUAUGAAGAAGGCCUUAGGAUUGUAAAGUACUUUCAGCGGGAAGGCGUUACCCGCAGAAGAAACACCGGCUAACUCCGUGCCAGCAGCCGCGGUAAUUC